AUAAAAUGGGAAAUAUUAAAACAACUGCCUUCAACAUCCUAAAUAAUAGUUUGUUUUCUUUCUAAAAUAAAUGAAUUUGGACUACAAGCCAGUUUCAAGAGCAUAAAAAACAUUAAUGCUCCAUUAGGGUAAUUCAUCAGUACAUGCUUAACAGACUGAGUAUAAUGAAAACAAAACAAAACAAAACAAACAAAAAAAACAAAGCGCACACACACACACAUCAGAAAUAUUUUAAAAACCUCACAGUAUUAAAAAGUACAUUUUAAAAGGGGAUUCGCUUGUUUUAUAGACUAAAAUUAAUAAAUUAUAGCAAUUGAGUCUCAUCUACUUUAUGCUACUACUGAGAAUUAAAGGAGCAGGAAAAGUAAUCUAGAGUAAGUGAACGGGGCAAGCAAAAAAAGUGAAGGCAGGCAUGUGCUUCUGACCUCAGAUGAACUGCAAAUGCAUAAACUGUGCAGUCUUAUGAAAUGCUGAACACUUCCAGGAUCCAACAAAACCCUGCCUUUUGCUUUAUGCUUUUGACUAGCUGCUAUCAACGAAGGACAAACUAUAUUAACUGCUCACUCUAGAAUACAGCUCCCCACUCUGCAGUAUAUCGCUUAUUAGUUGCUUGAGCAGCUGCUUCUCUCCUUGAUCCACUGUUGCAGCUGUGGGACAGGACAAGUGAAAGAGAAACUGUCUUUUUGCCCUGGUAUGGUUGUUCCUCGUCAUUUCUGCCUUUCGAGGAGUGAGCUCCAGGGUCAUGGGUUGCCCUUCGGGAAGCUUUUGUUUCCUGCGUCACAAUAUUUACUUGAAGUUGACAAGUCCAUCUUUUCAGCAGAAGCACUGAAACAUGCACCCAACUCAACCAAGAGAGGGAACUUCAAAUUUGCAUCUCUUGGCUCUUUCUUUCUACUGGCUCUCUGAAGCAUCCCAGCUCCCAGACAUGGCUACUGAGUAUUCCGGUGAAGAAGACAAACUCCUUCCAAUAAUGAAGAUGUGUCACAUAGCUACCUAACAGAGAGAUGUUCUUCAGCGUAAUUGAUACUAUUCCUAGAGCUGAGAGUCUGCAUUUUAGGUUUUGCUGUAUUGUUACUGUGCCUUAGCUCCCUUUAUUAAAGGCUUGCCUCUGCAAUUCAAUGCUUCAGAAAGCACUAUUAGAAGAAAGUAGGAAUUUUGUGAGAGAGUACCAGUCCAGUGCUUUAAUCACAGUAUUGCUUUUCCUUGAAAAAAAAAAUCCCCAAUCUUGAUCAAAUUAAGGCUCACUUCAUUUCUAAAUCUACAGAAACUUUCUCGGUGUGUAAUAUAGACAAUUUUAAAAGAUGUUUUUUCCCUACAACAGAUAUAAAGUAUAUGUGUGCAGUGAAGUUUAUAAUACAUUCACAACCAAAGAAGAUUGGACAGCAUUGCUGAUGUCUCAUAAUCUAGGAUAAUGAGCAUAAAAUUAGGAAAUCAGUGGUCAGUGGAUAAAUACAUGACCUUUCUAUUUUCUUUGCUGCUAGAGUCUUAGGGUUUGGGUCUCACAACAUCAGGCUUUGGCUAGGAAAUCAAUGAGGUUUGCAUAGAUGCAAGUGGGAAGGUUUUG
rnacentral:lncRNA from 1 species